rnacentral:rRNA from 1 species
AAAUUGAAGAGUUUGAUCAUGGCUCAGAUUGAACGCUGGCGGCAGGCCUAACACAUGCAAGUCGAACGGUAACAGGAAGCAGCUUGCUGCUUYGCUGACGAGUGGCGGACGGGUGAGUAAUGUCUGGGAAACUGCCUGAUGGAGGGGGAUAACUACUGGAAACGGUGGCUAAUACCGCAUAACGUCGCAAGACCAAAGAGGGGGACCUUCGGGCCUCUUGCCAUCAGAUGUGCCCAGAUGGGAUUAGCUWGUUGGUGAGGUAACGGCUCACCAAGGCGACGAUCCCUAGCUGGUCUGAGAGGAUGACCAGCCACACUGGAA